AUACUUACCUGGCAGGGGAGAUCCAUGAACCCAGGGGUGGUUUUGCCAGGGCGAGGCAUAUUAAUUGUACUCUGGAUGUGCUGACACCUACGAUUCCCCUAAAUGUGGGAAAUUUAACUGCGUAAUUCGUGGUAGUGAGGACUGCAUUAGAGCUCGCCCCUG